ensembl:lncRNA
UUUUCAACUUGGAGAGUGGCCUUCUUUGGAGUAUUUGGUGAGCCCUGAUCCGCUGAAACAGGUGAUCCUAAACUGGUUUAAAGCAGCUAUAUCUGCUAUUGCUGAUCUCUGUGAAGGCUAUAUACUUGAUAGCAAAAUAACUGGAUAAUUACGGACUUAGUUCUGGAAGGCAAGAAUAUCCUGUGUAAAAAUGUUCAGCUCUUUAUUGACUAAGUAAAAUGAAGAAGGGGUUUCUGGAGUAUGUGUGGCUAUACAGUGCAAAUAAUUUUUAUCUCUUCAGUAGUUUUUGUUUUCGUUCAAAAAUGUUUUGUACUCUACUGGUCUCCCUGGUUUUUCAGAAGGCUUUUCUUUUUAACUGCUGUAUUUGUAUUUUCCAAGGACAUUUUGUACGCUUUUUGAAGCACGCGUACUCUCUUGUGAUUUGGUGGCACUUGUGUUCACAAACCUUUUGGCUGUAACUUUGCAUAUUUAAUGUUUGUGGGUAUAAUAGGGUAGAGUUAAUACUCAAAAAAGUGGAAAUUUCUAUUAACUUUUUUAGUGUUUCCAGAAACAGAUGUAUUAGAAAGAAAAUACCUUAAGAAUGCCUGUGCAGAAAUAUGUAGAAGUACUACGUUGGGUGACACAGAAGCUUUUCUUUGAUUUCUUCUUCACACUGAAAAUGAGGGCUGAUAAAUGUUUAAGAGUGCUCUUCAGGUGAAAACCUGAAUGCUGAAUCAGUUUUCAGUCAAGAAACAGAAAUAAUGGUAAAUCUUUGUCACUAGAGUUCCAUGUCUAUGUUAAUGCCUUAUAAAGAUUCUAUGGCAGACAAGUAGAAUUUCACCAAUAUAGUAAAUGUCGCUAAUUAAAUAACAAAAAUAUGCACUGUAGGUGAUUUAUGUUGUUUCAACUUCUUUGAGGAAAUGAGAGGUAACAAGUAGUGCUGCAAUUCAGUCACUCAUUUUCUAGAACUAGUACUGUGGGAUUGCUGUUCCUAUGUUUAACUGUGUCAGCGGUUUUUGCUACUGUCAAGUAAAUUAGUGAAGU